GAGGGUAUAGCUCAGUGGUAGAGUGCAUACUUAGCAUGCAUGGAGGUCCUGGGUUCAAUCCCCAUUACUGCCA
rnacentral:tRNA from 1 species